CUACGGGGCGCUCCAGUGAGGAAUAUUGCACAAUGGAGGAAACUCUGAUGCAGCAACGCCGCGUGGAGGAUGACGCAUUUCGGUGUGUAAACUCCUUUUAUAUGUCAAGAAAAUGACGGUAGCAUAUGAAUAAGCUCCGGCUAACUCCGUGCCAGCAGCCGCGGUAAUACGGAGGGAGCAAGCGUUACUCGGAAUCACUGGGCGUAAAGGAGGCGUAGGCGGGAUAGAAAGUCAGGUGUGAAAUCCUAUGGCUCAACCAUAGAACUGCACUUGAAACUUCUAACCUAGAGUAUGGGAGGGGAAGAUGGAAUUAGUGGUGUAGGGGUAAAAUCCGUAGAUAUCACUAGGAAUACCAAAAGCGAAGGCGAUCUUCUGGAACAAUACUGACGCUAAGGCGUGAAAGCGUGGGGAGCAAACAGGAUUAGAUACCCGCGUAGUC
rnacentral:rRNA from 1 species